rnacentral:rRNA from 1 species
GCUAGUAAUUUCAGAGAUGGAUUAGUGCCUUCGGGAACACUGAGACAGGUGCUGCAUGGCUGUCGUCAGCUCGUGUUGUGAGAUGUUGGGUUAAGUCCCGCAACGAGCGCAACCCUUAUCCUUAGUUGCCAGCACGUAAUGGUGGGAACUCUGGGGAGACUGCCGGUGAUAAACCGGAGGAAGGUGGGGACGACGUCAAGUCAUCAUGGCCCUUACGGGAUGGGCUACACACGUGCUACAAUGGCGCAUACAAAGGGCAGCAAGCCAGCGAUGGCAAGCGAAUCUCAUAAAGUGCGUCGUAGUCCGGAUUGGAGUCUGCAACUCGACUCCAUGAAGUCGGAAUCGCUAGUAAUCGUGGAUCAGAAUGCCACGGUGAAUACGUUCCCGGGUCUUGUACACACCAA